UACGGGGGGGGCUAGCGUUGUUCGGAAUUACUGGGCGUAAAGCGCACGUAGGCGGAUCUGUAAGUCAGGGGUGAAAUCCCGGGGCUCAACCUCGGAACUGCCUUUGAUACUGCAAAUCUCGAGUCCGGAAGAGGUGAGUGGAAUUCCUGGUGUAGAGGUGAAAUUCGUAGAUAUUAGGAAGAACACCAGUGGCGAAGGCGGCUCACUGGUCCGGUACUGACGCUGAGGUGCGAAAGCGUGGGGAGCAAACAGG
rnacentral:rRNA from 1 species